rnacentral:misc_RNA from 1 species
UCCGGUUUAACACCGGCAGUCUCGUUAGAGUGCCCGGCCGAACCGCUGGCAACUAACGACAAGGGUUGCGCUCGUUGCGCCACUUAAGGCAACACCUCACGGCACGAGCUGACGACAGCCAUGCACCACCUGUGCAGGCUCCGUAGAGCGCCGGCUUUCACCGGCUUUGCCCUGCAUGUCAAGGCCAGGUAAGGUUCUUCGCGUUGCAUCGAAUUGAGCCACAUACUCCACCGCUUGUGCAGGCCCCCGUCAAUUCCUUUGAGUUUUAACCUUGCGGCCGUACUCCCCAGGCGGUCGACUUCACGCGUUAGCUUCGUUACUGAGAGUGUCAAACCCCCAACAACCAGUCGACAUCGUUUAGGGCGUGGACUAC